GUGUUGGGGUUCUUAGGGAUUGGCUUGUUUUUGGCCUUGUUUUGAAAUGGGAUUAGCUUGAUUUUUGGCUUAUUGUGAAAGUCAGGGUGCUUAUUUACUGCAUGGAAUUGGGAACUAUGAUAUAUAUUUGGGCAGAAUUUGUAUGAAUUUGUAUUAUUGGUGGUGAUGCAGGAGUCAGGAAUAACACAUCUUGAUUUUCAUACCCUUGGAUACAUUUGCAAGCCUGUCAGGUAGAAAAAUAGUCUCUCUUUUUUAUUUGUGGACUUAGCAAAUUUGAUCUAGAAAUCGCUAUGUGACAGUAAACAUGGAAUUCAGUGAAGUGUUAGUAAUUGUUUUAAAAGUUUCUCCAAACUAAAAUGUAUAAAAGUAAGUAUUUAUAAGACUAAUAGAAAUUUCUAGAAAUUUGUUUUAAAAAUUCCAGUGCAAUCAUUUGUUUUAAACAAAUAAACGUUUCUCUACCAUAGUUGAAACCUAAACAUUGCAGCAUUAGGAAUCUGAAAGUGAAACUGAUUUCAUUGAUUUUUAUUGUCUGAGUUGCAAGAGAUGCACAAAGUAAACAAGAACAUAAAUAAAAAUAAACAACUGGAUUUUAAAUAUGAUUUCACUUUUUAUAAUUGAAAGGGUUUAGUAAUGUGAUUUAAAGAAACUUGUUUACAAUGUAUGAGUUCUAAAUCAUCAAUGUCCCUGUCAAGCAUGUUGAUAUUAUGGAAACUACUUGUGAAUGAAGCAAGUAGAAUCUGACCUUGUAUAUUUAAGAGAAAACUUUACCUCAUACUCCUCAUUCCAUGAAUAAGGUCACUUUAAUUAAAAACAAAAUAUUAAAAGACAUAAUACUGGGAUCUGCUUUGCAAAUACCUUGUUUGCACUUAAUUCUUCGAGCAAAAUCUCAACACACAAAUCCAAUAGAUUAUACCCCUGUAGAUCAUUCACAUAAUUUAGCUAACCCAUUCUAUUCCACCUUUGUUAGAAACGAGGUAGAGAAUGUAAUCUACUACAAAGGCUUUUGGGAAGCAUUCUUUACCGACAUCCCCAGGCAGUUCUAAUAGGUAAGACUUGUUUAGUUUCCUGGAAAAUGUACCAGUUAUGGAAAUGUUAUUCCUCAAAUCACGGUUAUCCUGAAUCGGAUAAUCAUUUAGCAAAAGUAACAAAGGGAUAUAUUUAAAGUUAACACAGGCUAUUUUUUAUAUUUUUAAACUUGUCAAUUUUUUUUUCUUUAGAUGCUUUCCAUUCCCAUUUUAAAAAUCUUCUAACGGUAGUGAGCUACAAAUUAAAUUAACUAACUAUUAAAUUUGUUAGUCUCUAAGGUGCCACAAGUACUCCUUUUCUUUUUGCGAAUACAGACUAACACGGCUGCUACUCUGAAACCUAUAAAAACCUUCAGUGGUCCUGAAUGAUUGUCUCAUACAGUUGAGCAAAACAGCAUGAUUGCUUUAAAAGUAUUCUUGUUAUCUGAACCCUUAAUGAUACAUAUACUUCAGGUAAAAGAGAAGUUUUAUUUCAGUUAUGUUCAAGUAGUAUUACAUAUUUCUAUGUAAUGUUGACUGCCCAUCAAGAAAAAAACAAAUCCUCAAAAGCCAUAUAUGUGUAAGUGAUAAAAGGGACAUUGGUGUUUUUAAAAAAACAAAACUUUUUAUCCUUCAUUUUUUCCCUUUUAUAUUUGAUCUCUAUUUUCUCACAUCUAUAAGCUCCCUUAAACUUCACCAUUGCUCUAGUGGGGUAGCUCUGAUAGUUGUUUUCAAUGAUCUGAAAUUUCUACUCUCUGUUAUGAGAGCUGUAAUUAGCAAGGGAAAAGUUUGAUUUGACCUUGAAGAAAUAGGGCAUAGACCAUUGAAAUUCAGUAGCAAAACUCCGGCAGUGGGAGCAGAAUUGGGCCAGGUCAUCCUUAAAAACUUUGUUCCAAUAUUUCAGGUUUUUAUUACUAAUCUGAUCACCAGUGUUGUUACUAUAAAAUAUUCCCUGAAAAGCUUCUGUCACUCAAAGGGAAAGGGACACUGUUUUAAUUAUUUUAGCCCUGAGCAUCUCCUACUGCAGAGAGGAGAAAAAUUGUGGAAAAAGCUGCAGUGAGAGAGAAGGUGGAGGAGAAAGUGGUUUGAAAGAAUCCUGUGUAGUUGUUUUUUGUCCUGUCUGCAAAAAAUUGUGCAGCCUCUUGGUCCUGUGAAGAAAGGAAGUGAAUCUGUGGGAAGGUUUUUCACUAAGAACAAGAACUGCAGUAAAAGUUUUGGAAAAUAAAGGCUGCUUGAUUUAUAAAUGCUCCUUCUUCCCUCUAGCACACACUGUAAUCCCCUCAGAAAAUAUGCUCAGGCUUUGCAUCUAUUCAAUGUGAUAUAGAUGUCUGGGUUCAGGCUGCAGCCUGAGCUUUGGGACUCUUCCCACCUCGCAGGGUUCUAAACCCAGGCUCCAACCGAAGCCCAAAAGUUGACACUGCAGUGAGUCACGUGCUAUGGGCCAGCUGGAGGUUUUUAAUUGCAGUGGAGACAUACCCAGAGACCUCAAAGAGCACAGCGUUGGGCUAGCCAGCAGAGGCAAUUGGUCACAGCCUGGACAUGUUGCCAUGGCUGCUGGGUGCAGGUUAGAGGGGAAGGUGGAAGGAGAAUUCUCUGUGGGCGACAUGGAAACUUGUGAUUCUCUGGCCUCCACUGCAUUUUUUGUCCCCACCCUCUGCCUGCUGUACAUCCCUGCCAGUUCUCUGGACCGAUAAGGAGACCAGUAAAGGGGACCGUAUACCAGCUCUUGACAGCAGCUGUUCUUCAAUGAACUUUUUGUAUACAUUUGAGAAAGUAUGGUCUGUGGGUAGGUCACAGAGUUUGAUCUACAUGUGAGAGUAAUGUUAGCAUAGCUACAUCGGUCAGGGGUGUGAAAAAACCACACCCCUGACUGUCAUAGCUAUGCUGACAUAAUACCCAGUGUAGAUGCAGCUGUAUCAGUGGAAGAGUGCUUCUGUUGAUGUAGCUAACUUUUUUGGGGAAGGUGGUGUUUCUACAUCAACAGAAAAACCCUUUAUGUUGUUGUAGACUGCAUCUACGCUGUGGUGUUAUGUCUCCAUUGUCUCCAUAAAAAGGAAAGGAGUACUUGUGGCACCUUAGAGACUAAUA